UCUCCCACUCUCCCCGUCUCCCCUCUCCCGGCUAGUGCACCGCACACCUGCACCCCCAACCCCAAAUCCCCAUCGCCCCCUCGCCCAGUCCGCCUCCGCCGUUGGGCGUCAGCCGCUCGCGCCCCUCGCCCAGUUCGCCAGUCGCCCACGAGCGCCGCCGGCCACCCUCGCCCACGAGACACUGAGACAGAUUGUUGGACCAGUUAACACCAGCGACAACUACUUCACCGAAGGAGAGCUAGAGGACCUGUGCAGAUCGUGUGGCCUUAUUAACUACAGCAGUAAGGUAAGCAAUGUCAACUCCUGCCACCAGUGGAUCCCAUGCUGCUGCUACAUCACCACAGGGUGGUGGAUCUGGAUCUCAAGUGCAAGCGACUGUUGCUUCUCGUCCUCUUGCGUGCACGUGUGUUGGCACUUGCAUCUGAUUCACCUACAGCCCCAUCCGAUUCUACUACUCCAGGUACAGAAGAUGUGAUAAAGAUAGAAGAUGAUGUUGCGGUUGGUAGUCAGAGAAAGCUAAAAUCUGAAGUUUGGAAAGAGUUUGAUAGGAUUAGAUUAAAUGGGAAUUGGAAGGCAAAAUGCAUCUGGUGUAAGAAAAUGUUAUGAGGAGAAACUAGAAAUGGUACAAAUCACUUGCACGGGCACUUUGAGAUGUGCCUAUCUUGACAACUGCAACACCAAUGAUAAUCUCAUGAAGAAUAUGACAGGCACCAUCAAUGAUGAUCUCAAGAAGGGUACGACUGCUAUGAAAGGCAAGUUGCCACUUUCCUCUUGUAUGUUGAAGGGUAAAUUAGUACAUAUGCGUUGUGCUGCACAUAUUCUAAAUCUAAUAGUGAAAGAGGGAAUGAGUAUCAUGGAGAAAGGAAUUGAUAUUGUGCGUGAAAGUGUUGCAUUUUGGUCUGCCACUCCUAAAAGACAUGAAAAUUUUGAGAAAAUGGCAAUACAAAUGAAAGAUAAAUAUUAAAAAAGAAUAGCACUUGAUUGUAAAAUUAGAUGGAACUCCACUUAUAUAAUACUUAGCACUGCAUUGUUGUACCAAGAUGUUUUUGAACGCCUUGCUGCUCAUGCUCCAUGUGUACCAAUACAAGAAGAUUGGCAGUUUGCUAAAGAUCUUUGUGAUAGAUUAAAGAUGUUCUAUGAUAUAACUGAGCUACUGUCAGGCACUAGCUAUGUCACGGCAAACCUUUUCUUUCCCAAAAUCACCAAAAAUUAUAUUGCUAUUAGGAAGUGGCAAAUGAGUUCUUUCCCCAAGGUAGAAGAAAUGUCUACUAAAAUAAAAGGACAAAUUUAACAAAUAUUGGUUAGAUGUGCAUGGUUUGAUAGCUGUUGUUGCUGUCCUAGAUCCUAGGUAUAAACUACACCUAUUGAAUGUUUUUUUCAUAAAGAUUCAUGAGUCUGAAAGUAUAGCUACGGAUGCUGUCCAUAAAGUGAAAGAUUUGCUGUACAAUUUGGUUUUGGAAUACCAAGAUUCCAUGGAGAGUGUUGCCACAACUGAUGGUGCUCAAACUAGGCAAACUAGUGUUCCUGUUGACUCAGUAGUUGAAGAUUGGAUGGAGGUUUUUGAUGAUUACAUGUCAAAAAAGCCACAUGUAUGCACCACUUAUGUGCGCACAGAGUUGGAUUUGUACUUGGAGGAGGAGGUGCUGCCUAGGACACAAGAGUUGGAUGUCAUACAAUGGUGAAAAGUUGGAGGGCUAAAAUAUCCUAUUUUAAGAAAGAUUGCACGUGAUAUCCUUGCAAUUCCUGUGACAACAGUGGCAUCUAAGUUGGUCUUUAGUACUAGUGAUAGAAUUAUUAGUCCACAUCGUAGUAGGCUUGCACCAUCAAUGGUAGAAGCACUUAUGUGUAUGCAAGCUUGGUCGCGUGCCGACAUGUUAGGUGAGUGAUCUAAUGUCUAACAACAGUUCAAUAUUUGCUUCGUUUCUUAUAAGUUAAAGCACUAAUUUGUGAAUUCUUUAUUUGUUAUUAUAGGAUCUCAGUCCACUUUUGUUGCUGCAUUGAUGACUUGUCCUGACGAGGAAGAUGAGGAUAUGGAUGAACCUGAAUCAACUGUUGUUGAUUAAUGAACUAUAACAAAUCAGGUCAUCAAGACUCCAAAAGCUUAUCGCCUCAUUCUCCAGAAGCUCAUUUCUAUUUGGAUCAGGAGCUCAUGUGAACUGUGAGUAACUGUGACUGUGAGUGACUGUGAUAUGUGAGCUCAUGUGAACUGUGACUGUUCAUUUUUAUUUGAAGGAACCACUUUAUUGUGAACAGUGACCGCUCAUUUUUAUUUAGAGUAGCAAACUGUAACAAGCAUGCAUGGUGAACUGUGUUCUAUGA